CGUCUAGCUCAAAAAGGAUAGUCGAAUUCGGGGCGUGGAAAGAAAAAGUGAGGAGUAAAACCCGGAGCCCAGGGUAAUUGGCAAAUAAAUGAUGAAAAGAGAUAAAGAGUAAAAGAGACAAAGUGAAAAAGAGAAAAAGGCUGAGAUGGCCCAGGAAUAGAGAAGAAAAAGGCUGAGAUGGCCGAAAAAGAGAAAAAGUUAACUUAAUGUUAGGGACGACGCGAUUGGGCAUACAAACCGGUGAGGACAGUUUAAAGAAGGAAAAAAGGCCUAUAUACUAUAGUAAGGAAACACUGAGCUCAGUGAGAAGAGGUGUGCUGAAAUUUGAGUGCGUGAGAGAAGCUUCUGGUGUGUGUGUGUGCGUGCGUGCGUGCGUGCGUGCGUGCGUGCGUGCGUGCGUGCGUGCGUGCGUGCGUGCGUGCGUGCGUGCGCGCGCGUGUGUGUGUGUGUGUGUGUACACAAAGUUGGGGAAUGAUCUAGCAUAGGUUUAAGUGAUUAACUUAUGAUAAAGUGAUAAAUGAUGUCUUAUUAAAUAUAUAAUGAUAUGAUAUAAGAAAUUACCGUAUAAGGGAAGAGAUACUGUUGCCUUUGUAGUGCUAAAAAAAACAUAUGAGCCCUGGUUUCUUUGUACAGGGACGUUAAUAGAAUAGGUAACUGCUAUGAGCCUCUCAGGAUAAAGAGGACGUUUGUACACCUAAUAGUAAGAAAUGAGCCCCUUAUUAGAUGAGGAGGACUUUGGAUGGUGAUAACAUGCUCGAUUAAAAUGACAAUUAAAGAAGUGUACACAAGCACAUUUUUGUUCAUACAGAUACAGGAAAAAACAGAGUGAAAGAUUGGAAUGAUUUGCUGACUGAUGGGUGUGGUUUCCCUCUGUGUGUGUGUGAAUAUUUAAAGUGAAUGGUCACUUGCUGAUGAUCAUGUUUAGAGGGAAGUCCUAGUUAAAAAUUGGAAAAAUCCAGGAAGCUUUUCCUCCCUCUUUCUUUCUCUUCUUACAGGCCUGAGAACAGAAAGAAAGCUAAAAAAUCUAGUUUAACUAUCCUAGUUGCGUGAAAAUUUUAAAUGAUAUACCAUGAUAAGGGGAUUGGGGUAUAAUAAAUUUAGGUAGUCUUAUGGUAGAAGAAAUCUUUAAAUAGUGGUAGUAAACGUUUUAAAUUGUAUUGAAUGAAGUGAUUGUAAUGUACUAAACAUUUGAUUUGUCUUUUGUCCCUAACUCUGAUGCAUGAGCGGGGAGAGGAGAAUGAAAGGAGUCUGACGUUGGAGCUCCCAUGAGACAGAUAAGAAGAUAAAUGGCUGUGCUGCAAACAAGAGAGGGCUUGCGGAUGAGAGGCUCACCAGGUCCUGCUCCCAUUUGACAGGCCAGUACAGUUUUGUCUACAAACUCUUCUCCGAUGUGUCUGCUGCUACUUAGUUGUACAUACACACAUUAAUAGUGGGAACACAUUUAGUUGGGUGUUUAUAUUUGUUAGUGCUAGACAAUAAGAGCAGUAGUUUUGUUGGUAAAAAGAAAGGCUUGGCAAUAGAAAUAUUGCAUAACCAGAUUUAUUAACCCAGUCUGUUAAUGUUCACUUUUAAUUCAUAGAUGAUUGAACCAAAAAAAUAGUAAUUUACUUUUUUAUCUUUGGAUUUACUGAGAAAACUGUUCUGCUCACAGCUGUGGUCAAUUUACUCAUGUUGUAUUUUAUUUGUCAUUUCAUUUUAGAGAGGAGAUGAAACCAGACCAGAUGAUAGCAGACCAGACCAGAGAGGAGCUGAGGGGGCAGCCUGCAUCACAAACUAUCUUCAAAAGAAAGGUAAAUUUUUUUUUUUUAAAUUCCUCCUUAUUUACUGGUAACUGUUACAUUAUUUUACAAGUAUCUGAAAAUUUUAAUUAACCUUCCCUUUUUUUCUCUCCAAGUUAUUUGUCUGUUAUAGAAAUGAAACAAGCCUAGACCAAACUGGAGAAGACCAGAGUGGACCAGAUGAUAGCAGACCAGACCAGAGAGGAGCUGAGGGGACAGCCUGCAUCGCAAACCAUCUUUAAAAAAAAGAUACAUUAACUUUAUUCUAAUAUAUUAUUCUAAUUCAUUUCCGGAUGUAUUUUUAAAUUUAGGAUUCAAAUGUUAGUAUUUAAGGUUAAGUAAUGCUUCUACUAUUACAAUUACUUAUACUUUUACUCUGGAAUUUAUUUGUGUGUCAUAUAGUGGAGAAGACAGAAACCAGACUAGACCAGAGACCAAGACUGGAGAACAGAGUGGAGACCAGAUGAGUCCAGACCAGAGAAGAGCUGAGGGGGCAGCCGACAUCGCGAACUGACAAAAAAAAAAAAAGAUAAAUAUAUUUUAUCCUUAAUUUCAAUCACAAUUGUUUUACUGUACAAUUGUUUCAGUUGGAGUCUUCAGUGGUGUUAUAACUUUUCUUUUUCCUCUUAUGUGAUUUGUCUUGUACAGAGAAGACAGAAAACCAGUCCAGACCAGAUACCAGCUGAGGGGGCAGCAUACCUUACAAGCCAUCUUUAAAAAAUAACGUAAGUUUUUCCCAUGCCAUAUUUUUUUUUUGUUUUGAUCAAAAUUACUUCACUGUAAAUAUUAUUAUUUCAAAAUUGUCUUCACUUGUUAACUUCUUUUGUCUCCCACAUUAUUUGUCCUUUACAGAAAGGAAACAAGUCUAGACCAGACUGGAGGUGUAUAGAUAAUGUCUGAAACCAGCGUGUUCGUUUUUGUGGUCAGUUGGAGUGGAACAUGAAGCUGUGGUGGCCUCACUGUGAAGCUCUCAUCACCUACCUGAUGACCUACAGUCACACUAAGAGACCAGAGCUGCUGGAGAGAUUCUCUCAGGUGUAUGAGUACACCUUCAGUCACGUGAGUUAUUACUGAGGGAAACGUACCCGAGGAAAAAUCUCAUGCUACACCUCUGAAGUGUUAAAUGUCAACAAAUGACCGUCACGAUGACUUGUAACUUAUGAAGCCUCACUUAAGAAGCACUGAAAUAUUCCUUUAAUGUUCAUAUUGUAGAAACAUUGGGUAGAAUAGAAAAGAAAAGAAGUUGUAGAGAAGAAAAAAGAUGUUAAAAUAGACGAAAAAGAGAUGCCAAAAAUAGAAUAGCAGAGACUAGUAAUGGGAGUGUGCUAAAUAACCGUGCAAGAUUAACGAAGACAGGGCCCAUAUCUUCUUAACGGUAAGACAAUGUGUAAAUUAGUGACUACUGUGAACGUCUAGCUCAAAAAGGAUAGUCGAAUUCGGGGCGUGGAAAGAAAAAGUGAGGAGUAAAACCCGGAGCCCAAGAUAAUUGGCAAAUAAAUGAUGAAAAGAGAUAAAGAGUAAAAGAGACAAAGUGAAAAAGAGAAAAAGGCUGAGAUGGCCAAAAAAGAGAAAAAGUUAACUUAAUGUUAGGGACGACGCGAUUGGGCAUACAAACCGAUAAGGACAGUUUAAAGAAGAAAAAAAGGCCUAUAUACUAUAGUAAGGAAACAUUGAGCUCAGUGAGAAGAGGUGUGCUGAAAUUUGAGUGUGUGAGAGAAGCUUCUGGUGUGUGUGUGUGUGUGUGUGUGUGUGUGUGUGUGUGUGUGUGUGUGUGUGUGUGUGUGUGUGUGUGUGUGUGUGUGUGUGUGUGUGUGUGUGUGUGUGUGUGUGGGUGCUGAGCUGUGAGUGUGAGUGCAAAAGAGUCUGUGUGCAGUGAGUGGUGUGUACACAAAGUUGGGGAAUGAUCUAGCAUAGGUUUAAGUGAUUAACUUAUGAUAAAGUGAUAAAUGAUGUCUUAUUAAAUAUAUAAUGAUAUGAUAUAAGAAAUUAACAUAUAAGGGAAGAGAUACUGUUGCCUUUGUAGUGCUAAAAAAAACAUAUGAGCCCUGGUUUCUUUGUACAGGGACGUUAAUAGAAUAAGUAACUGCUAUGAGCCUCUCAGGAUAAAGAGGACGUUUGUACAGCUAAUAGUAAGAAAUUAGCCCCUUAUUAGAUGAGGAGGACUUUGGAUGGUG